rnacentral:rRNA from 1 species
AGUGAACGCUGGCGGUAGGCCUAACACAUGCAAGUCGAACGGCAGCACAGUAAGAGCUUGCUCUUACGGGUGGCGAGUGGCGGACGGGUGAGGAAUACAUCGGAAUCUACUUUUUCGUGGGGGAUAACGUAGGGAAACUUACGCUAAUACCGCAUACGACCUACGGGUGAAAGCAGGGGAUCUUCGGACCUUGCGCGAUUGAAUGAGCCGAUGUCGGAUUAGCUAGUUGGCGGGGUAAAGGCCCACCAAGGCGACGAUCCGUAGCUGGUCUGAGAGUAUGAUCAGCCACACUGGAACUGAGACACGGUCCAGACUCCUACGGGAGGCAGCAGUGGGGAAUAUUGGACAAUGGGCGCAAGCCUGAUCCAGCCAUACCGCGUGGGUGAAGAAGGCCUUCAGGUUGUAAAGCCCUUUUGUUGGGAAAGAAAAGCAGCAGGUUAAUACCCCGCUGUUCUGACGGUACCCAAAGAAUAAGCACCGGCUAACUUCGUG